UUCUCUUCUCAAUAGAUCUACCAGGAGACCAUCACUUUCAGUAGUAAAUCAUUCUUCUGUUCCUUUACUGUAUGACAGUACAGGAUAUCUUCCAAAACCCCAUUGAAAAUAUGAGGAAAAGUAAUCUGCCUGACUUGAAAAAAAAGGGGGUGGAAAAGGUAUACCAGCUCAUCCUACUGGAAGAUCUAAAAAUCUAGGUCAAGGUGUUCUUCAUGGAUUGACAAAGAUAAGACUAAAGAAAAAAAGAGUUUAAGUUACCUAUAACAAGAAAUCAAAUUCAUGUCAGAGAUGCAAUUUCAACUAAAGAUAAAGGAAGGAAGAAAGGAAGGAGAGAGGAAGAAAUGAAGGAAGAAAUUCCAGGGCAUAGGAAAGUGUUGAAAAUAUAAGGGUUUUCACAAAUGUUUU
rnacentral:lncRNA from 1 species